CCCAGACUCCUACGGGAGGCAGCAGUGGGGAACAUUGCACAAUGGGGGAAACCCUGAUGCAGCAACGCCGCGUGAGUGAAGAAGUAUUUCGGUAUGUAAGGCUCUAUCAGCAGGGAAGAGAAUGACGGUACCUGACUAAGAAGCCCCGGCUAACUACGUGCCAGCAGCCGCGGUAAUACGUAGGGGGCGAGCGUUAUCCGGAUUUACUGGGUGUAAAGGGAGCGUAGACGGUUCUGCAAGUCUGAAGUGAAAGCCCGUGGCUUAACCGCGGAACGGCUUUGGAAACUGUGGAACUGGAGUGCUGGAGAGGCAAGCGGAAUUCCUAGUGUAGCGGUGAAAUGCGUAGAUAUUAGGAGGAACAUCAGUGGCGAAGGCGACUAUCUGGCACAUAACUGACGCUGAGGAGCGAAAGCGUGGGUAGCAAACAGGAUUAGAUACCCCGGUA
rnacentral:rRNA from 1 species